UCCACCUGCUGGGGGCAGAUGAAGUGGAUAUGGGCGUCGAUACCGCCAGCCGUCAGGAUCAUGCCUUCGCCGGCGAUGAUCUCGGUGCCGGGGCCGAUGACGAUCGCCACAUCGGGCUGCGUGUCGGGAUUGCCCGCCUUGCCGAUGGCUUUGAUGCGUCCGGCCUUGAGGCCCACGUCGGCCUUGACGAUGCCCCACCAGUCGAGGAUCAGGGCAUUGGUGAUCACGGUAUCCAUCACCGCGUCGUCAUGGCGCUGGCUCUGACCCAUGCCGUCACGGA
rnacentral:sRNA from 1 species